rnacentral:rRNA from 1 species
GACGAACGCUGGCGGCGUGCUUAACACAUGCAAGUCGAACGAUGAAGCUGGAGCUUGCUCUAGCGGAUUAGUGGCGAACGGGUGAGUAACACGUGAGCAAUCUGCCCUUGACUCUGGGAUAACUGCGGGAAACUGUAGCUAAUACCGGAUACUUUCACCGGGGGGCAUCCUCUGGUGAUGAAAGAAUUUCGGUCAAGGAUGAGCUCGCGGCCUAUCAGCUUGUUGGUGAGGUAACGGCUCACCAAGGCGACGACGGGUAACCGGCCUGAGAGGGUGACCGGUCACACUGGGACUGCGACACGGCCCAGACUCCUACGGGAGGCAGCAGUGGGGAAUAUUGCACAAUGGGCGCAAGCCUGAUGCAGCAACGCCGCGUGAGGGAUGAAGGCCUUCGGGUUGUAAACCUCUUUUAGCAGGGAAGAAGCGAAAGUGACGGUACCUGCAGAAAAAGCACCGGCUAACUACGUGCCAGCCGCCGCCGUAACAC